UACGGAGGGUGCGAGCGUUGUCCGGAAUCACUGGGCGUAAAGGGCGCGUAGGCGGCGCGGGGAGUCAACGGUGAAAGCUCGGCGCUCAACGCCGAGUCGGCCGUCGAUACUUCCGGGCUUGAGCACUGUAGAGGCAGAUGGAAUUCCGGGUGUAGCGGUGGAAUGCGUAGAGAUCCGGAAGAACACCGGUGGCGAAGGCGGUCUGCUGGGCAGUUGCUGACGCUGAUGCGCGACAGCGUGGGGAGCAAACAGG
rnacentral:rRNA from 1 species